rnacentral:lncRNA from 1 species
UUCCUAAACAGUUAUUUAAACCAUUAAAAUUUUUUCAUCCCCUUAUCAGCAGCAAUUUGAGUACCAAAAAUUCAUUUCUCCUCCAAAAAAAAUCACAAUCCAAUCCGAUCAAGCUGCCAUUGGCUUCAACCGAAAAUCAGUUUCUCAGCCAACAUGGCCUGUAAGAUGUCCCAUGUCCUUUCUAUGCUUGUCCUGCUAUUAUCACUUUCACUACUCUUUCCUCCAGCUUCUACCAGAAACACGCAACUAGGUAAGUGUUAACUAUGUAAGUUCCAGAUUCUGAGUUCUUCUAAGUUAAAGAUUCUUUCUCUCUUUUGAGUUGUUCAGUACUUUGUUUUUUUUUUUUUUUUUUGGGUUUAUCGUAGGAAAGAAGGUCAAUGAAGAGAUUCAGAGAAACCUAAUAGGAAUACCAAGACAUGGUCCCCGUCAUGCACAAACAGGUAAUCGCCCAGCCUCCCCUUGUCCACCUCUUGUUGCCGAUAACGAGAAGAAAAAAUUUACUUGGGCAACCAAGGGCCAUAACUAAAGGCUACAAAACAAAGCCUUGCUAUGAGAUUAAUAAUUCUCUAAAAUUAAGAUUCCUUUGGUGAAAACUUUUUCUUUUUUCUUUUUAUUUUUCAAAUAAUGAAAGAAAAGAAAAAAACAAAAAAUAAAAUUUAAAUAGAAAACUAAAAAAGAAAAAAACGUUUUACAUUAUUGUAAGUUUUUACACUCUUUUUAUCCUAAAUCAAAAUGGUUAAAACUAAAAAUAUUAUUUUAAUCUAAAAGUAGUGAUAAAUUUAAGUUUAUUUAAUAGUCAAAAAAAUUGUAAAACUUACAUUGAUGUAAGUGGAUUUCUACUCCAAAAAAUAUAUAAAAAGAGUAGUGAGAAGAUGCUGUAAGUGUUGCUGAGCGAAUAGCCUGAAACACAACUUUAUCCCUUCUCUUUAUGUUACCUUCUCAGUGAUUUCAGGAAGUAUCAAUUUCAGUGAUUUUCUUGUGAUGGUGUAAUACUCUAUUUGAUCCUUAUCUUUUUUUUCUCUUUCUCCUAUUGCUAUAUUACACAUAAUCAUCAUAUCUAUAAGCAAAAUAAGUAUAUUGCUAUAUUAAUAAGAAUAAAAAAAUAAAAAUGUUUAUAUUUUAAUUAAAAAAACUUGAAAUUUGUAAAAAAAAAAAAGAAAGAAAGAAAAUGUGGUCAUAUAUGUUUAUAUUUCAUGAAUAAAAAAUUCUUUUUGCCUUCAAAAUAAAAGAUAUUAAAAAAAUUCGUUAAUUAUUAAUGAAAUUGGAAAUUAAGGCCUCUUUCAUGUUAAAGUUUUCAACGAAUUGUCCCCAAUUUAAUCAAAGUGAGUAUUUAUAAUAUUAAAAUUUGUCAUAGUCUCAACGUAGAGUUUACUCCAUUGAACAGUGUUGACUGCCACGUAAUGAUCAUACUAUGGUUAAAACAACACGUCUCGCAACUUCUUAUUUGCUCUUUAUUCCCUUUCAACUUCGGGUUUCGAUUCGUGCUUUGAGUCAAAGAAGGGGGGACAAUACUUGCAACUACCCACCAAUGUCACAUCAUUAAAAUUGUUUAUUUGAGUGAUAUCAUGAUUCCAAGAAAUUUCUUCAAAGAAAAAUUUUUAUUAUAUCUAAUCUGUCCAAAUAUAAUUUUAAGUUUGACUUGGAUUAAAACGCACCAAUUUUAAGUUUGACUUGGACAAUGCUUGCAACUACGUACCAAUGUCACUAUCAUUAAAACUGUUUAUUUGAGUGAUAUCAUGAUUCCAAGAAAUUUCGUCAAAGAAAAAUUUCAUUAUAUCUAAUCUGUCCAAAUAUCGUUAAAAUUUUUAUUACAUAUAAAUUUUAAUAUAAUAUUUUUAAUGAUCAUUUUUUUCAUCAUAAUUCAAUUCAUCAUUAUUAUUUUAUUUAUAUCUAAACAUAUAUUUUUAUUAUUAAUUUUAAUUUUAUUAUUAUAAUAAUCAAUCUUAACUUUAUUACUAUUUUAAAUUUUAUUAAAAUUAUCCUUAUUAUUCGUCCAAAUAAAUUCAUAAGUUUUCACGAUAACAAUAAAUUGAGAGAAAAAAAUAUAAAAGCUAACAUCAAUUUGGUGUGGUCCUUUUUUUUUAUUAUUCAGCAAAAGUGUUGACAUCCAUCGUAUGUCAUCACUAGCAUAAUCAUUUUGAAAUUUCAAAGGGUAAACAGGAUAAAUAAAACCGUGAAAUCUUUGGGGAAUAUGAUGCAUGAACCCAAAAUUGAUUAUUGAAUCCUCUUUCUCUUCCAACAUAAUCACAAUCCAAUCUGGUCCAGCUACUGUUAGCUUCAACUAGAAAUCAGUUUCUUAUAGCAAACAUGCCGGCUUGUAAGAUGUCCCGUAUUCUUUUAAUAGUUGUCUUACGGCUAUCAGUGUCACUCUUCCCUCAAACUUCAACCAGAAACAAACACUUUGGUAAGUGUUAGCCUGUGUAAUAAUGUAAGUUAUAACUAUAUAUGAAGAGGGAAAAAAAGUUUCAAUUUCGUAUAUUUAUAUUCUUUUAAAAUUUCAUUUGUUUCGCCAAAAUUAACUUCUAAAAAAUAUUUUCUGAAAAAUAUGUAUAUUUUUUGGUAAGGAUGUUUUGUUAUUUGGAUGAGUUAAUAAAAAAUAUUUUAUAUUAUUUGAUUAUUUUUUGAAAAAUCUCUUUCCUUGUUCAAUAAUACUAAUAUAACUAUUAAAAUAUUAAAAAUGAUUUAUUAUAAAAAUAUAUUAAAAUUAUUUAUUAUUAAAAUUAUUAAUAUUCAAGAAUAAUUAUAUUCUAAUAAUAAUAUUUAAUACUAAAAUAUUAUAUCAAUAUAAAAAAACUUAAAAUAAACCUAUUUAUUAUUCUUUUUAUUAAUAUUUUAAAAUAUUUAAAAUGGUAUUAAUAUUCUUAAAAUAUUAUUUUUAUUAAUAUUAAAAUAGUAAUAUUUAUUAUUAAAAUAUUUAUAUUUUAUAUUGAAAGUAUCUAUUAUUGAAUUAUAACAAAAAUAUUUUUUAUUUAUAUUUAUUAUUAAAAUAGCAAUACAAAUACCUUAAUAAAUAAAAUAUAAAAUUAUAUAUUUUAACCAAAAAAUAAUAAGAAAUUAUGUAAAAUAUUCAUAUUAAGAAAAUAAUAUUAUAAUAUUAUCUAAAAUUAAUUAUUAAAAUAAUGAAAAUAUUAUUAUAUAUGUUAUUGUUUAUUAAUAAAAUAAUAAUAUAAUACUACUUAUUAUUGCAAUAUAAAAAAUAUUUCGUAUAAUAAUAUACAAAAUAAAAAUCUUUAAAAUUGAAAUAUAAAAAGAUUUUUAAUGAUAAUAUAUUAAUUUUUAAUUAAAAUUAAGUAAAAUAUUUUAUUAAUAUAAUAAUAUUUUAAGUCAAAUCAAUCAAAUAUAUUAUAUUCAAAGUUUUAUUUGAGUAAAAUUAUAAAAUAUUUAAAAUUAAAAUAUUAAAAAAUUUUAAUAUUAAUAUCCUAAUUUUUUAAGUAAGAUUACAUAAAAAUAUUAUUUGCUAAUAUAAUAAUAUGUAGGUAUGAUCAAAUUAAGUUUGCGUUUAAAAAAAUCGUGUAUAAGAUUCAAUUUGAGUAAAUUAUGUUAAAAUACAUUGAUAAAUAAUUUUAUUAAUUAUAAAUUUUUAGAAAAAUUAUUUUUUCUUUUUCAAAAGAAAAAGAUAAUUUCCAAAAAAAUUAUUUUAUUUUUUAUUGAUCAAUUAUUUUUUGCUGGCGAAGCAAUUUUUUGUCAAAUAAUUAUUUAAAAAUAUAAAAAUUAUUUUUUAACGAAACGAACGGAACUUGAAAUUUUAAAAUUUUAUCUCUAAUUGGGCUGUAUUUUUUUUUUUUUUGCUUAUUGUAGGAAAGUCGGUGUACGAUGUGGUUCAUAGAAAUGUGAGAAGUUAUCAAAAACCACCACGCUGUCAUAUUUUCCUGGGAGCCGCCGCAGUUAUAGUCCAAUCGACAAUUGUCCUUCCGUGAGGACCAAUAGCUGCAAGCUGCAAGCCUUGCGUAUUCGUAUUGGGAAAUGUAAUGAUUGUUUUUGCAUAUAUGAUGUGUGAAAG